CCAGCCCAAGUUAGCUUUCACGAUUAGGUCAUUCGUUGUCCCCACAGCGGCGCCUAUUCCUCUCGAGCCUCCCAUGCCGGCCGCCGCCCCUCGUCACCGCUCCCCUGCGACCAACUCCUUUGCACGGCUGCGACCUACCUGCAUCCUGAUGCGCCGCCGCUCACCACUCCACUGCGAUCCUCCGUCCUGGCGCGCCGCACCUCGCCACAACCCUGCGAUCCUCCAUCCGGGCGCGUCGUCGCUCGUCACCACUCCCCUGCUGCCCUGCAUACCGGCGCGCCGCCCCUCGUCAUGGCACUCCUACAACCAACGACGAAUCUAAGGUACGGCCAUGUGCAGUAUCAGGCCUGCCCACCAAGUUUUCCCCCAAACCCAAGCCAAUCUCAUGUACCAACAGCGCAUGUUCUUAGCGCGCGAUCCGUCCUUGCCGUCAUCCAAUUCGCAGCUGCUGCCGAUGUAACCAGCGGGCCACGCCCAAAAUACCUGCCUCACAAAUAUACUUUGCCAAAUUGACUAUCCACCUCCAUAGUACUAUGCAUGUAAACGCCGUCCGAAUUGGCAUGACGAGUCAGAGAGGUAAGCAGGGCAGGACCUGAGCACGCUUACUAAUAGGACUGGAUGGAUACUGCUGCCACAGAUCUCAUUCUAGGUAUGACUACAUCUAUUUUUUCUUUGUAAAGGCAAGAAGAUCAGCAAGGUAGCACCCAAUCUGUUCAACUGUUCAUUAACGCACGAUUAAGCUCGCAAAGUAGCACCCAAUCUCAAUAGUGAUUCGUCCACUUAUUAAUAUUACAUGCAAGGUAAUGAUCGGGCCUCUCUAUACUAUGCAAAUUGAUAUGCUUGAGCAACAACAAACUGCAGCAAUUAAUUUAACUAGCAUAUAUUAACUACAAACAUAUCAGAGAUUGUAAAUCAAGUUGACUAUCAUGCACUAUAUAUAAGACUUUUACUAUUGUACGUCUUAACUUAGUCUGCAUGGCUUGCAGUGCACUUGCUACAACCAGAGUAUGUAUAUGGCUUUGAAACUGAGCAGAAUUAUUUAAUUUGCUUAUUAAUAUUAGUUAUUUGUUUAUAUUUUGCAGAUUGGUGCUUCUUUUCCUUUCUAAAAUAAAAGUUGAUCUUUGAGUUAUGUUAGUCAGAUAUGAUUAUUAUGCCAGACUAUAUCAUCAGCAAGGUGUUUUUAGUACCAAAUGAUGAAUAUUUCAACCACUAUUUGGCGUACUAUGUACUCAUGAAAUACACUCCAAGGAAACAAGCGCCUACAAAUUGUCCCUCUAAAAUUAAGUUAGGUAUGUGGCAUGCAAGUAGAGGAGAGGAUGAACUUGAGAAUUACCAAUUUUGCUCAUAUUUGAUCUGAUAAGAUGCAAGAAAUAAAUGGAUGAUUAUAUGGGUGUGUGAAGAUGAUGAUGCUCCUGUCCAUGAUGAUGAUGAUGAUGAUGAUGAUGAUGGAUGCUUUUAUUGUUUGUUAAGUUGUAGGGAUGUUCAUUUUGGGUGAUGGGUGAUGUUCCUCGGUUAAGUUUUAGAUAAGUUGUAGGGAUGUUGAUGGAUGCUUUCGGUUGAACUUUCGAUGUGUAGAAAAUAUUUAGAUUAUGCAUCACAUUCUGAUGAUGUUCCUCUUGUAAUAUCCAAUAUUGUAACCCACAAUUUUAUCAAAUAUAUGAUUUCUUCAUUA